rnacentral:rRNA from 1 species
UACGUAGGGUGCGAGCGUUGUCCGGAAUUAUUGGGCGUAAAGAGCUCGUAGGCGGCCUGUCGCGUCGGAUGUGAAAGCCCGGGGCUUAACCCCGGGUCUGCAUUCGAUACGGGCAGGCUAGAGUGUGGUAGGGGAGAUCGGAAUUCCUGGUGUAGCGGUGAAAUGCGCAGAUAUCAGGAGGAACACCGGUGGCGAAGGCGGAUCUCUGGGCCAUUACUGACGCUGAGGAGCGAAAGCAUGGGGAGCGAACAGG